GUCUGGUGGGAUCCAUGCCUGGUUUAUUUUAAUAAACAUGAGCUUGUCCACGUUGGCCGUGGACAGGCGGCUGCGCUUGUCUGUGAUAACCUUGUGCUGAUUGCAUGUCCCCGUGAUGGCGACAAUGCAUCAGAUUUCUGCCCUAUCAAUUUUCGAUGCUAUUUUCCACACCUACCAUGGUGACCACGGGUAACAGGGAAUCAGGGUUCGAUUCCAGAGAGGAAGCCUUAAAAACAGCUACCACAUGCAAGGAAGGCAGCAGGAAAGCAAAUUACCCACUCCUGAUGGGAGGAGGUAGUGAUGAC